rnacentral:lncRNA from 13 species
GGGAAUUCUGUCUAAAAACCAAGUAUUUAUUCACAGUUGCAUCUGGAUUUAAAAAGCACCUCAUUCUAGGAUUUCUGGUGAGGGUUUGAGGCAGUGUUUCUGGUGGGAGCCAGGAGGGCAGGGCUGGGUGUGAGGCAGGGUGAACUGUGCCAGGCACUGACAGCUCAGGGGUCCCCUUCCUCUUAGUGCUGGGGGCUGUUAGUCCUGGAGAUGCAGGUUCUUAGUACUCUUAGUGCUUGGGAGCUUAUAGUGCUGGGGAUGUAGGUUUCCACUUCAGGGAAUUGCACGUGGGAUGCAGGGAAGGAGGGAUGCUCAGCUGGGUCUGACUUGCCAGGGAUGGCUGCAGCACCCACUGAGGUCUGAGGCUUAUCUGCUCCUCCCCACUGUGUUUCUCAGUAGUGCCAUUAAGUACCCUGGGGACUUCCUUCUCUCUCCUUUCAUCUCCACAGUGGCCCCGGGGCCCAGAAAUCCACAACAGAAUAGCUUCAGUUUUCCACUUUCUUAGAGUUACCAGGGGCUCCAAACCCCCCAACUUGUCAGCUCAACUCUUUGUUUCUAUCCUGAGAAAACUCACAUUUCCCCAGGGCUGCAUGCACAGGCAGUGAGGAGUGCCCAUUUUCCAUCCAGAAAUUAUUGACUUGCUUUGAGAAUUCUUCAAAGGGAAUUUUCUCACACUUGGCAAUUCAAUGAGUUUGCUUAUUUACUCCAGGGCUUUAUAGGAGGUACAAACCCUUCUCAUCAAAAUCACAUGUGGACUUAGAGUAUUGCUAUAUUAGGAUUUUCAAUCCGUUUUUUUUAAUACUAAGCAUGGUUUUGCAGACAGCUGUAUAGCUGGCACCUACCUCAUCACCCACGUUUUUCACUGUGUCCUUGAUUGGGCUGGGGUGGGGUGCCUCCUGUCUUUCAAGGAAUGUCGUGCACCCAAGGCUCAGGCAGCACAUGAUGGAGCUUCCUGGGAAUGAAACAAGAGACUCCAAAAUUCCCAAGGCCAAGACAUCACAUCUGCUCAGCAUUCCCCUUCAACUGGAAUUCUCAGGAAUGGCUGUGGGCUUUGUUCCAAUAGCCAUGGCGAGGGUGCUUUGCUGACCUCGUGAGCUGAGGCUGAUUUUCUGAAACUGUGCUGGGGCAGAGGCUCCACGGCAUGUUUAACUGGGGCCUCUGGUGACACCCCCGUCAGUGUUCUCCUCCUCCAGCCACGCCCACUGAGGGGCAGUGUGGCCAUCCACUGAGGGGCAGUGUGGUCAUCCACUUCCCCUUACACAAUGCUGUGUGUGGCUGUCUUGCUUGUCACCUUCCCAGCCAAUGUUCUGGUCGGGUGGACCCUCAUGGAAAAGGCACCAGUGGUCUCAGACUGGAAUUGCUCCCUGUCCCACUUCCAUGUUGCAAAUGUCCCCUGCCCAAGUGCCCACGGUGCAGUAGGAAAGCCUGUGUGACACCCCGCUCAUGUUAACAAGAAAAAUGACUUCCUCCUAUUGUCACUUUCCUGUAGGGCCAGAAUUUGUCCC